rnacentral:lncRNA from 1 species
CGGUGCUGCCUGGCCCUACAGUGAGCUUCAGGCCUUCCUCUGCCCUCUCGAGGUCCCCAGGGGCCAUCAGCUGCUCCCCUGCCUCCUGUGAGGCUUAUCCACAGUGAACACGGGACGUCUUCCAGGUUCCGCCUGCCCCAUGAGUGAGACCGGUCCUGAGCCGAGGGAGCCAGACAUCUCCAGAGAGGAGGGGAGCCGCGGACGUGCCUGGAGGACAUGGGAGCUGUGGGGACGCCGCAUCCCGGUCCCCACGUCCCCUCCCG